CUACGGAGGGGGUUAGCGUUGUUCGGAAUUACUGGGCGUAAAGCGCACGUAGGCGGAUUGGAAAGUUGGGGGUGAAAUCCCAGGGCUCAACCCUGGAAUUGCCUCCAAAACUAACAGUCUAGAGAUCGAGAGAGGUGAGUGGAAUUCCAAGUGUAGAGGUGAAAUUCGUAGAUAUUUGGAGGAACACCAGUGGCGAAGGCGGCUCACUGGCUCGAUACUGACGCUGAGGUGCGAAAGCGUGGGGAGCAAACAGGAUUAGAAACCCGAGUAGUCC
rnacentral:rRNA from 1 species